rnacentral:piRNA from 1 species
GCUGACUGUUUCCAGGGCCCAUCGUGUGC